rnacentral:rRNA from 1 species
CGCCUCUUGUCCAAAUAUAAGAGGUCCAGCCUGCCCAGUGACCUAGUUCAACGGCCGCGGUAUCCUGACCGUGCGAAGGUAGCGUAAUCACUUGUCUUUUAAAUAGAGACUAGUAUGAAUGGCAUCACGAGGGUUAUACUGUCUCCUUCGACUAAUCAAUGAAACUGAUCUUCCCGUGAAGAAGCGGGAAUAUUUUUAUAAGACGAGAAGACCCUAUGGAGCUUUAAACAAAAUAAUAUAUGCUAACCACCACCCUUUCCCCCGGGGAGGGAAAUUACUUACCAAAAUGAUAGUAUAAUAAUUAUUAGUUUUCGGUUGGGGCGACCACGGAGUAAAAAUUAACCUCCGCGUUGACACGGCACAAACCUAAACAAAAAGCCACGACUUUAUGUAUCAGUAUACUGACAUUAAUUGACCCAAUAUUUUGAUCAACGAACCAAGUUACCCUAGGGAUAACAGCGCAAUCCACUUCAAGAGCUCCUAUCGAAAAGUGGGCUUACGACCUCGAUGUUGGAUCAGGGUAUCCCAGUGGUGCAGCCGCUACUAAAGGUUCGUU